rnacentral:lncRNA from 1 species
GGGUAAGGAGGGCACAAGGAGAGCCGCGAGGAGGGGAGAGAAGGUGAUGGGAGGGGAAGCGUUCUCGGUCCCUGACAUGAAUGAACCAUGUUCGGGAACGGAGGCUUUGCUCUCCCGGUUUGCUCCUUCCUCUUGUUACAACUCCCGGCUCUUCCGCUGACCAACAACUGGCCUCUUAAGGACAGAAGUGAAGGGAGGUUGGAGCAGUGGAGCAACCAUUUGCAGCCCUCCAGAUUUAGAGGUCAGGAUGAAAAACAGAUAGAGAAAAAGGUACAUUACACACUAUCUAUCUGUGUCUGUCUGUCUGUCUGUCUGUCUGUCUGUCUGUCUGUCUGUCUGUCUGUCUGUCUGUCUGUCUGUCUGUCUGUCUGUCUGUCUGUCUGUCUGUCUGUCUGUCCGUCCGUCCGUCCGUCCGUAAGAUUAGUUCUUUCUGAGAUUUUCUAUCAAUAGCUUCCUAUCCCUCUCCCUCUCCCUCUCCCUCUCCCUCUCCCUCUCCUCUCCUCUCCUCUCCUCUCCUCUCCUCUCCUCUCCUCUCCUCUCCUCUCCUCUCCUCUCCUCUCCUCUCUCCUCUCUUUACCCAGCCGGCCAUCAGCAGGAGGGUCCCCCUACAUGAGCCUUGUCCUGCUCAAGGUUUCUUCCUGUUAAAGGGGAGUUUUUCCUUGCCACUGUUGCUUGUCUGGGGUUAGGCCCUGGGAUUCUGGAAAGCGCCUUGAAACAUUUUGAUUAUAUAAGACGCUAUAUAAAUAAAGAUUGAUUUGAUUUGAUUUCGCUCAUACUCCACAACCAGAUAAAGGAGGAGCAUGUGAUAGAGAUGGCAGCCUGAGCAGUUUACAGAACAGAAAUUUGAAUAACUCAUUAUAGGCUGAUGUUAAGUAACGAAUGAUGCAAAGUGACUGUGUACAAGUUGAUAUUACAUUUCUUACUUUUGGAACUUGGUUGAUUGUCUUAUUGCUGCUUAUUGCUGUGCAUUUUCUUGAAGGAGGAGGUGUUCCAGUGGUGGGGAGAAUGGUCCAGCUGGUCCUCUUGUUCCAGGAGUUGUGGUGGAGGAGUAAGGAGUCAGGGAAGACAUUGUCUUAUACAAAGGUAGUGUGGUUAAUAAUCUAAAAUAAAGAGCUGCAUUACAUAAAAAAAAUGUUCCAAACAAAAUAGAUGAUAACCUACAUUUUAGUUU